AGGAGCCUGUAGGAGCAGAGAGCACUUCUGAAAGAAGAGAUAGCUGCUAUACCAGAUACAAUCACAGUUCAGAGGAGAGGACAAGCCCCAGGAGCCAAAGCAGCCGACCUACCCAGAUUUGGGCACCUAACCCUGAUCAGGAGCCAAAGAGGGUCAAGUCAAUGGUUCAGUUAACUCUGAAGUGGAGCUGCAUCAGAGACGUAGUCGGUCACCAUCCUCCACUACAGCUGGUCUUCACCAAACAAGCCUCCUAGAUACAAUGGCACAAUAGCUGGCACGGUCCCUUCAUUCAUCCUCCUGCCAGCUACUCCAUUAUUGUCACGGCGUAGGACAAACAAGCCACCAGAGACUGGCUGAAAGGCGAUGGUGAAUAGCACGGUACGGUUUACAAGGCGAUAUCCUCCUAAACACUACUGAAUGCAGCAAUCUUGUGAUUAAUAGAAAUUUGGACAUAGCCAUGGCUUUUAAAAGUUGCAGACCAGAGCACAGAGGGGGCCUAAGGAAUGAGACAACAUCGAGAAAGGGAGGACAUAGAUAUUUCAUCAAAAAUGGGCACAAUUCCCCCAGAGACAGACUGCAACAGAAAAUCUACACAGAGUGAGCGUGUUCAUGAAGCGUGCGGGUUUCCACAGCCACCGUGUCACCGCAGGUAUGUACUGGUAGGCAGCUGCUGCCCUCCACACACUGGUGAGACUGGAGCCCAAUGGACUCAAGACUUGUUUGUAACAGGAGGGCUGAGGAGGAACCUCUCUUUGACCGCCCAGGUGUUUCUAAAUGGUAGUUCAAGCUGAGUGUCUCACCUCUUAGGCAUCUGCAAAAGAACAAAAUGGAAAUCCAGUCCCCUUCUUUUUCCUUCCAAAGCAAGUAUCUGAAGUAGACUGCGGCCACACUGGGGACUCGUGCCCAAAAGGAUCUGCAUCAGAUCUCGAAACUCCAAAUUUCAUGUGGAACUCAUGGGACAAGAGGAAACCUACUGAGAGAAGGAGGCAAAUAGGCUUGAGGACCGUGCCAUUUCUUGCUCAGUUGGGUCAGGAGCUGACCUUGAUAGUGCUGGAAGAUAGAAGUGUGCUGAUCCUGCUCUUGAGCACGGCAAAGCCCAGACUUUAAAGCAAAAUCAGCAAUGCAUUUUGUGAUGGAGGAGGAAAGAGCGAGACAUGAAAACCAGACCAAAGAGAGGCAAAAAUGAAGGAGCUUACAAAAUGAACCUUGUAUAUAUUAGAUGGAAUAUAUUGUCAGUGUUCUGUAACGUUUGUGCUCAAAGCAGAAGGAAGUACAAAAUACUGUUGGUGGAUUGCUGCAGUUCAAUGGCCAUCAGCUGUUCAUAAAUCAAGUACAGAGACAGACUGCAAACUGCCUUGCUGCCAUGACAAAGACACAGUGAUUAAUGCUUCCGUUAUGGAUUAGGGAGGCACUGAGGUAAUAUUACAUGUAACUCUAAGAUGCUACUUCUUUUUUACUUCUCAGCUGAAGGCCAAGCAAAGUUUAGUCAAUAUUACUCAGAAUUAAACUGCUAAGAGUGCCGUAUGCUUUAUUUUAUAACAUAAACAUGCGUGUCUUUGCAAGUGGCUUUUUGAUUUUUUUAUAAAUUCAAUAAUUACUAUGCAGUAGCUCUGUCAGUAUUGUCUUACACUUAUUUCCCUAUUUUGUGCUAUCUAAGUUUCUGCCCAGGCUGUAUUUUAGCAUAUAUGUAUAUGUAAUUCUCUUUCCUGUGCUGAGGCGGUUUUUCAGUCUCUGCAGUGUGGCAUCAGUCCAGUAUCUACAAAUCAUCCAGUCUCCUCAGGCUGAAGAAGAAAGGAAUGGCUAGAAAUUCCGCACAUUCCUCAGGGAGAACAAGAAAAAGAGUCCAAAAACUCUCAGCAGGAAGAAUCACGGUGGCCCAGUCUGCACGGAGCCAGAUCCUCCACUGCCAGGAGGAGCGGGAGGGCUCUGGGACACGGCGGGUAUUGCACACACGGCUGUCCCGCAUCAGCUGUCCCUUCCGGACCAUAAGGCUAUCUCCUCUCAUAUCCCUCUUGUAUACAAAUUCCUGCUAGUAAACUCUGAUUAGCUCAGCUCUUGGACAGGGAAUACAUAGGUGUAGCUGGAGUGUGUUUCCACGAUAUAUAUGUUCUGAAAAACUUCAAGGAACUGGAAGGUGUCCGAGAACCCCUCCUCUCCAACACCUUUCUAAACUCCCUGCUGUUUUCUCUGCCUAUAUGUAAAGACUGAGAGGAUUCAUUAAUGGCAUUUCCUAAUCUCAUUAAUUGACCAAGUGUGGGAACAAAAAGUCACAGACACUGAUAAAGCUAGUAUGUGACUCUGGAUUCCCACUUUUGAAAUCAGACCUAUGUUUCUGGUUUUCUUAUGCAGCUGAUCUGCAGCAUGGGCUAUUCUGUUGCUACUCACAGCAUCUGCCUAACACUCAUGCUUGUGUGAUUCCAUUUUUAGCUGAAUGCACUCUCUGAUGGAUGGCAGUAUUCGAACCUAAAUUGAAAUAUAUUUGUUAAAAUCACUGUUAGGAAAAAUAUCUAACUCUAAAUUAAAAAAUAUACUCCUCUAUGAUUUCAUUUGCCGAUGAAAGAAAUAAGUGAAAAGAAAUGAGCCAAAAUGCAAAACACAUUCCUACAUUCAUAGAAAAAGUAAUUUGCUGCUAUUUUAGCAAAAUGCUCAUGAACAGAAGUCAUACAACACAUUUCCUCAGUUUCUUGUUAUUAUAGGGCAAUUGUUCCAUGUUUAUCAAAAGACUCAGAGAAACAUAAUGUUCUUGUCUGAGAAAAGCAUAAUGUUAGUGGACAGACUGUUCACUUGAUUUUACUUGGCUUCAUAAAAACAGUAGCGCUUGUAUUUUGAUUAACCAAAGAUACCCACCAUGUUUCCAGCACAUUGCUGUAUGCACGUCUCACUAUUUGCCUGCUUCAUUCUGUCAGUACACACUGGCGCAAAGGACACAUCACCAGAUACUUUAAAAUUUAUUCACCCCUUUCUUUACAUAGUUAUUCAUUAAGAAUGCAUGGACACUUGUCUUCCAAAUCAUUUUCUAGAUUUUCAUAGUUCAGAUUUUAUGAAGCACACAGGAGGUUUCAUGAGAAAGGCUCAAAAAAGUAAUUCAUAUUCUAUAUUUAUUUGUAUUGAUCAAUCAUCAAUUAGCUUUUUAAAUGUAUGAAAUUCUUCUUCAUGUUCCUCUGUUACCCAUUUCUCCCUUACACAACUGACUAGUCUGUUUGUUUAACCUUCCAAGGGAAAACCAAGACUGUUCAUAAUCUUACAAAGGCUCAAAAUUAAAAAUAACAUUAAUGAUUCUGGUUUUUUCCCCUGGUAAAAUAUUAAGAGAGAUAUUUCAUUCACAUUGAUCUUCCUUUGCAUACAUUUUCUGGUUCAGUAGUUUUCAGCUAUUUGCCUUUUGAUUCUAAAUAAAGCUUUUCAGCACAAAUAUUUCUUUCAGACUAUUCAAAUCUUUUAGCAUGAUAAACAGCCAUUGCAAUUUGACUGAAUUGCUAUACAGGUAAACAGUUCUUUAUUCCACAGAAAUUACAGAAAGUGUUGUGACAAGUAUUUUCAUUCUUCAUAUACAGUUCUGGCUCUUUCAGACACUCAGAAAAAGUAUUUAUACUAAACGCCUUGCAGUUAAGUCAUAGUAAAGGCUCUUUACUAGGCACGAGUCUCAUUUCAGAAUGUCUCUCCUUUGGGAAUAACUCUAUCACCUUACGUUAGUUAAUCAGAUAGGUCUGAUUUUAAGUAACUUCAGAACCUGAGAAGACAAAACAUUCAGGUUUUGCACUAACUGGAUGCGUGAAAAUCUGCCUCGGACUUCUCAGAUGACCUUGAAGUACCUGUUCAUGGCCUUCAGGGGUGCAUGGCAGUGCCUUAAAUCCUGCUUUUCUGGGUCUUAGCAUUGUGCUUGGGACCCUUAAGCUCUAAUUCCUACCUUAAAAUCUUGGUAAUCAAUGGUUCUGUCCUGUUUUCGAUGUGCAGAAAGUGUCACUAUACAUUUGCAAAGCAUGGAGGCGCCUGGCUCGUCGCUGCAGAGCUCGGAGGUCUGGCUGUAUGGCACGGCUUUAAAUGGACACUUGGCUUUCCAAGGGUAUGAGAUUCUCUGCUUGCACGGUAACAGUCACUCAGUUCAUCAAACUAGGCAUAGCAAACACUAAAUAGGAGUAGGAAGGAUGUUGAGUGUAUGUCUGUUGUUCUUCUCACCAACUAGUUUACUAGUGGUUUAUUGCAAGGAGAAUGUACAGUGAAUAAAACUGGUUCCUAAAACAGUGAUGGAUAUGAAGUAGCAAGUGUAAAAAAAUGAACAAUAACAUUUCUCAGUUGGCUUUUUUCAGGGGAAGAGGAGCUUCCCGUUGGAAGUUUAUUUUCCUGAAUUAAAGAUGGUGUGUUCUGCUGG